rnacentral:rRNA from 1 species
UUAAGCGACUAAGCGUACACGGUGGAUGCCCUGGCAGUCAGAGGCGAUGAAGGACGUGCUAAUCUGCGAUAAGCGUCGGUAAGGUGAUAUGAACCGUUAUAACCGGCGAUUUCCGAAUGGGGAAACCCAGUGUGAUUCGUCACACUAUCAUUAACUGAAUCCAUAGGUUAAUGAGGCGAACCGGGGGAACUGAAACAUCUAAGUACCCCGAGGAAAAGAAAUCAACCGAGAUUCCCCCAGUAGCGGCGAGCGAACGGGGAGCAGCCCAGAGCCUGAAUCAGUGUGUGUGUUAGUGGAAGCGUCUGGAAAGGCGCGCGAUACAGGGUGACAGCCCCGUACACAAAAAUGCACAUGCUGUGAGCUCGAUGAGUAGGGCGGGACACGUGGUAUCCUGUCUGAAUAUGGGGGGACCAUCCUCCAAGGCUAAAUACUCCUGACUGACCGAUAGUGAACCAGUACCGUGAGGGAAAGGCGAAAAGAACCCCGGCGAGGGGAGUGAAAAAGAACCUGAAACCGUGUACGUACAAGCAGUGGGAGCCUCUUUAUGGGGUGACUGCGUACCUUUUGUAUAAUGGGUCAGCGACUUAUAUUCUGUAGCAAGGUUAACCGAAUAGGGGAGCCGAAGGGAAACCGAGUCUUAACUGGGCGUUAAGUUGCAGGGUAUAGACCCGAAACCCGGUGAUCUAGCCAUGGGCAGGUUGAAGGUUGGGUAACACUAACUGGAGGACCGAACCGACUAAUGUUGAAAAAUUAGCGGAUGACUUGUGGCUGGGGGUGAAAGGCCAAUCAAACCGGGAGAUAGCUGGUUCUCCCCGAAAGCUAUUUAGGUAGCGCCUCGUGAAUUCAUCUCCGGGGGUAGAGCACUGUUUCGGCAAGGGGGUCAUCCCGACUUACCAACCCGAUGCAAACUGCGAAUACCGGAGAAUGUUAUCACGGGAGACACACGGCGGGUGCUAACGUCCGUCGUGAAGAGGGAAACAACCCAGACCGCCAGCUAAGGUCCCAAAGUCAUGGUUAAGUGGGAAACGAUGUGGGAAGGCCCAGACAGCCAGGAUGUUGGCUUAGAAGCAGCCAUCAUUUAAAGAAAGCGUAAUAGCUCACUGGUCGAGUCGGCCUGCGCGGAAGAUGUAACGGGGCUAAACCAUGCACCGAAGCUGCGGCAGCGACGCUUAUGCGUUGUUGGGUAGGGGAGCGUUCUGUAAGCCUGCGAAGGUGUGCUGUGAGGCAUGCUGGAGGUAUCAGAAGUGCGAAUGCUGACAUAAGUAACGAUAAAGCGGGUGAAAAGCCCGCUCGCCGGAAGACCAAGGGUUCCUGUCCAACGUUAAUCGGGGCAGGGUGAGUCGACCCCUAAGGCGAGGCCGAAAGGCGUAGUCGAUGGGAAACAGGUUAAUAUUCCUGUACUUGGUGUUACUGCGAAGGGGGGACGGAGAAGGCUAUGUUGGCCGGGCGACGGUUGUCCCGGUUUAAGCGUGUAGGCUGGUUUUCCAGGCAAAUCCGGAAAAUCAAGGCUGAGGCGUGAUGACGAGGCACUACGGUGCUGAAGCAACAAAUGCCCUGCUUCCAGGAAAAGCCUCUAAGCAUCAGGUAACAUCAAAUCGUACCCCAAACCGACACAGGUGGUCAGGUAGAGAAUACCAAGGCGCUUGAGAGAACUCGGGUGAAGGAACUAGGCAAAAUGGUGCCGUAACUUCGGGAGAAGGCACGCUGAUAUGUAGGUGAAGCGACUUGCUCGUGGAGCUGAAAUCAGUCGAAGAUACCAGCUGGCUGCAACUGUUUAUUAAAAACACAGCACUGUGCAAACACGAAAGUGGACGUAUACGGUGUGACGCCUGCCCGGUGCCGGAAGGUUAAUUGAUGGGGUUAGCGGUAACGCGAAGCUCUUGAUCGAAGCCCCGGUAAACGGCGGCCGUAACUAUAACGGUCCUAAGGUAGCGAAAUUCCUUGUCGGGUAAGUUCCGACCUGCACGAAUGGCGUAAUGAUGGCCAGGCUGUCUCCACCCGAGACUCAGUGAAAUUGAACUCGCUGUGAAGAUGCAGUGUACCCGCGGCAAGACGGAAAGACCCCGUGAACCUUUACUAUAGCUUGACACUGAACAUUGAGCCUUGAUGUGUAGGAUAGGUGGGAGGCUUUGAAGUGUGGACGCCAGUCUGCAUGGAGCCGACCUUGAAAUACCACCCUUUAAUGUUUGAUGUUCUAACGUUGGCCCCUAAUCGGGGUUGCGGACAGUGUCUGGUGGGUAGUUUGACUGGGGCGGUCUCCUCCUAAAGAGUAACGGAGGAGCACGAAGGUUGGCUAAUCCUGGUCGGACAUCAGGAGGUUAGUGCAAUGGCAUAAGCCAGCUUGACUGCGAGCGUGACGGCGCGAGCAGGUGCGAAAGCAGGUCAUAGUGAUCCGGUGGUUCUGAAUGGAAGGGCCAUCGCUCAACGGAUAAAAGGUACUCCGGGGAUAACAGGCUGAUACCGCCCAAGAGUUCAUAUCGACGGCGGUGUUUGGCACCUCGAUGUCGGCUCAUCACAUCCUGGGGCUGAAGUAGGUCCCAAGGGUAUGGCUGUUCGCCAUUUAAAGUGGUACGCGAGCUGGGUUUAGAACGUCGUGAGACAGUUCGGUCCCUAUCUGCCGUGGGCGCUGGAGAACUGAGGGGGGCUGCUCCUAGUACGAGAGGACCGGAGUGGACGCAUCACUGGUGUUCGGGUUGUCAUGCCAAUGGCACUGCCCGGUAGCUAAAUGCGGAAGAGAUAAGUGCUGAAAGCAUCUAAGCACGAAACUUGCCCCGAGAUGAGUUCUCCCUGACUCCCUGAGAGUCCUGAAGGAACGUUGAAGACGACGACGUUGAUAGGCCGGGUGUGUAAGCGCAGCGAUGCGUUGAGCUAACCGGUACUAAUGAACCGUGAGGCUUAACCUU